UAUUAUCAAAUCCCUUCAUUAUUGUGAAGUGGGUAUUGGAUUUGGAGGUCUUUGCGGGUUUCACUGUAAAUCUGCUCCUCUUGAAUACAUUAGCUAGAAACCUUUUGUUAGGCUGGCUUCAGUGUGAUAAUUGUCUGCGCUGUAGUCGUCUAGCACUUGUAUAAAGGAUUUUGCUUCUUAAUCGUCUUUUCUUAAGACAAUCUUGAC
rnacentral:misc_RNA from 2 species